rnacentral:rRNA from 1 species
UACGAAGGGGGCUAGCGUUGCUCGGAAUUACUGGGCGUAAAGGGCGCGUAGGCGGACAGUUUAGUCAGAGGUGAAAGCCCAGGGCUCAACCUUGGAAUUGCCUUUGAUACUGGCUGUCUUGAGUUCGGGAGAGGUGAGUGGAAUGCCGAGUGUAGAGGUGAAAUUCGUAGAUAUUCGGCGGAACACCAGUGGCGAAGGCGACUCACUGGCCCGGUACUGACGCUGAGGUGCGAAAGCGUGGGGAGCAAACAGG